rnacentral:rRNA from 1 species
UGGGGAAUAUUGGACAAUGGGCGAAAGCCUGAUCCAGCCAUGCCGCGUGUGUGAAGAAGGUCUUCGGAUUGUAAAGCACUUUAAGUUGGGAGGAAGGGCAGUAAGCGAAUACCUUGCUGUUUUGACGUUACCGACAGAAUAAGCACCGGCUAGCUCUGUUCCAGCAGCCGCGGUAAUACAGAGGGUGCAAGCGUUAAUCGGAAUUACUGGGCGUAAAGCGCGCGUAGGUGGUUCGUUAAGUUGAAUGUGAAAGCCCCGGGCUCAACCUGGGAACUGCAUCCAAGACUGGCGAGCUAGAGUAGGGCAGAGGGUGGUGGAAUUUCCUGUGUGGCGGUGAAAUGCGUAGAUAUAGGAAGGAACACCAGUGGCGAAGGCGACCACCUGGGCUCAUACUGACACUGAGGUGCGAAAGCGUGGGGAGCAAACAGG